ensembl:snoRNA Gm23891 predicted gene, 23891
CAUGUCCCUUGUAGUAUUUCAGAUGUGGGUGCUGUGUCACAUGUGUAGGAGUUGGUGGCAGAGAUGAGAGAAGCUAUAUUUAUGGUCAGUGUCCUGAUCCUGACCUAUGAAUAUUUGAACGGUUAAUAACCUAACAUU